rnacentral:rRNA from 1 species
ACGCGUGGAACCUUACCAGGUCUUGACAUCCCAUUGACCGCCAUGGAGACAUGGCUUUCCCUUCGGGGACAGUGGUGACAGGUGGUGCAUGGUUGUCGUCAGCUCGUGUCGUGAGAUGUUGGGUUAAGUCCCGCAACGAGCGCAACCCUUGUUCUUAGUUGCCAUCAUUUAGUUGGGCACUCUAAGGAGACUGCCGGUGACAAACCGGGGGAAGGUGGGGAUGACGUCAAAUCAUCAUGCCCCUUAUGACCUGGGCUACACACGUGCUACAAUGGACGGUACAAACGGUUGCCAACCCGCGAGGGGGAGCUAAUCCGAUAAAACCGUUCUCAGUUCGGAUUGUAGGCUGCAACUCGCCUACAUGAAGCCGGAAUCGCUAGUAAUCGCGGAUCAGCAUGCCGCGGUGAAUACGUUCCCGGGCCUUGCACACACCGCCCGU